rnacentral:rRNA from 1 species
CCUACGGGGGGCAGCAGUGGGGAAUAUUGGACAAUGGGGGCAACCCUGAUCCAGCCAUGCCGCGUGUGUGAAGAAGGCCCUCGGGUUGUAAAGCACUUUCAGUGAGGAAGAACGCCUGGUGGUUAAUACCCAUCAGGAAAGACAUCACUCACAGAAGAAGCACCGGCUAACUCCGUGCCAGCAGCCGCGGUAAUACGGAGGGUGCGAGCGUUAAUCGGAAUUACUGGGCGUAAAGCGCGCGUAGGUGGCUUGAUAAGCCGGUUGUGAAAGCCCCGGGCUCAACCUGGGAACGGCAUCCGGAACUGUCAAGCUAGAGUGCAGGAGAGGAAGGUAGAAUUCCCGGUGUAGCGGUGAAAUGCGUAGAGAUCGGGAGGAAUACCAGUGGCGAAGGCGGCCUUCUGGUCUGACACUGACACUGAGGUGCGAAAGCGUGGGUAGCAAACAGGAUUAGAUACCCGGGUAGUC